AUGAACGCUGGCGGCGUGCCUAAUACAUGCAAGUCGAGCGAACAGACGAGGAGCUUGCUCCUCUGACGUUAGCGGCGGACGGGUGAGUAACACGUGGAUAACCUACCUAUAAGACUGGGAUAACUUCGGGAAACCGGAGCUAAUACCGGAUAAUAUAUUGAACCGCAUGGUUCAAUAGUGAAAGACGGUUUUGCUGUCACUUAUAGAUGGAUCCGCGCCGCAUUAGCUAGUUGGUAAGGUAACGGCUUACCAAGGCAACGAUGCGUAGCCGACCUGAGAGGGUGAUCGGCCACACUGGAACUGAGACACGGUCCAGACUCCUACGGGAGGCAGCACUAGGGAAUCUUCCGCAAUGGGCGAAAGCUUGACGGAGCAACGCCGCGUGAGUGAUGAAGGUCUUCGGAUCGUAAAACUCUGUUAUUAGGGAAGAACAAAUGUGUAAGUAACUAUGCACGUCUUGACGGUACCUAAUCAGAAAGCCACGGCUAACUACGUG
rnacentral:rRNA from 1 species